rnacentral:rRNA from 1 species
AACUUUCANCAACGGAUCUCUUGGCUCUCGCAUCGAUGAAGAACGCAGCGAAAUGCGAUAAGUAAUGUGAAUUGCAGAAUUCAGUGAAUCAUCGAAUCUUUGAACGCACCUUGCGCUCCUUGGUAUUCCGAGGAGCAUGCCUGUUUGAGUGU